GAAAGCUGCCAGAGGCCACCUCCUGGAGAGCAUGUGAAGAUGCAGGGACUCACACUGCGCUCAGAGAAGGCAUCUACUGUGUGCUAGGCCUCUGUAAAGAUUUCACCUGGAUCUCAGACCCACAAUGCAGGGCAGAAAUGAUUCUGUCACAGCACAAAGAAGCAGGCCUCUGAACAGCUGCCACUCCUGGUGCUACCAAGCUAAGAAAGCAAGGAAGGUCUGGACCCAGCUCUGGCUGGCUCCUCCCAUUCUACCAACCUGAGUUUAGUACAGCACAAGUGUGUCAGCUCAACAGUGAAGUAACACCACCAACCCGCAGCCCAAAUAAACACAGC